rnacentral:lncRNA from 1 species
UUUUCUAUUUCCAACAUUAGUAUGUAAGCACCAGUUGCCCACAUUCCUACCAGCACUCGUAAGUUUUGGAUUUUUGCUUGAGACUGUGUCUGCUUGGUAUUAAGCUGCUAGCUACAAGCAUCCUUCCUUCCUCAGCCUCCUGAGCAGCUGAGUUAGAGGUGUGAGCCAUUGUACUUAGUUAGCUGCAGGACUUUCCUUUUCUGAGUGUGUACACCUGUUCACACGUGCUUGUGGAGGCCUGAGGUCAAUGCUGGCAGUUUUCCUCAGUUGCUCUUCAGAUUGAAGCAAAGUCUUAAUGAAGUUCAGAGCUCACUGUUAAGGCUAGUCCCACUGUCUAGCUGCUCAUAUGUACUCAGCAAGCACUCAGCUGCUUCAACCACGAGACAUCGUCCCAGGUCCAGACUUCUGGUGAUAGUUUUUCUAGUGCUUCUUGAUGUGUUUCUAAUUUGAUGUGUUUUUCAUGUGCUGUUAGCUAAUUCUUUGGUGAAAAGUCUUCCAGUUUUUUAAAGAAAACUUUAUUUUAAUCUUAGUGUGUUAUAAGAAUUCUUUUUUAGAACCAGUAAAUCUAAGAGGUCCUAUUGUUAGAAAAAAAUAAUGAAAGAUAAAAUAUUUGUUAUUUUCAGUUCUGUCCAAAUGAAAUUAUAGAUAAAGUUUAUUACUGUGGAUUUCCAGUGGAAGCAAAAACAAUAAACCAUUUGCAAUCCUGAAAAAAAAAAAAAAAAAAGAAUUCUUUUUGUUGUUCCUGCUUGGGUUUGAAAUAGAGAUCUCAUACUUGCCUUAGCCUCAAACCUUCCUAGUGCUGGGAUUACAAGUGUGGAUUAAUGUCCAACAAGAGUUCUUAAUACAUCCUGAAUCCUAGAAACUAUUCCCAGAAUUAAAUUUCUCUAUUAGAUAAAAGGUUACUUACCUAUGUUUGUUUGUUUGUAAGGGCUAAAAGUGAGAAAGGCUUUGGAGUUGGUGAAAUGGAAAUAGUCUGCCUAUUUUGUUGUUAAAUAGGAAGAUUAUAUUACUUCACAUUGUGUAUGGUUAAACUUUUUCAUCUUAAGAAACUUUUAAGAGUAAGGAAGAAAUUCCCACCUUGCACGUAGGCAGCCUAACAUGUAGGCUAAGGAUCUUAACUAUCAUUUUGGAACCAGUUGUUGUACUCUACCUUAGAGGUACUUUGACUAGAGAGUGGUAUGCCGUAUGGAUAACAGUUAUUAACUGGGACCCCUUAUUACUGGCGAACAUAGUAAGAGGAAGCAUUUACAGUUAGUCAGCAUUAUCCUGACUGAAUAUUCUAGCCUCAUGUAUCAGAAGCAGCAUUUUUGGAACAUCUAUUUUCUUUUCUAAAUGGUACUUUAAAAAGGGAAGCCACAUAAUGUGAAUGAAAUCAGUGUCAGAGCACUAGCAAACAUGUAACCAUUUUAGUGCCUGAAAAAUUUUUAGAGAUAGUUUACAUAGAGAUUAUUCUUAUGUCUGUCUUAUAUCUCUUCCUACAAAUUUCCAAAAUAAAGAUUUUAUCCCCC